GGAGGAGUUCCGGAGCGGUCGAACGGGACGGUCUCGAAAAUCGUUGUGGGGGUAACCCCACCCAGGGUUCGAAUCCCUGCUCCUCCGCCA
rnacentral:tRNA from 1 species